CAGCUUUCAUGUCACAAAUUAUUGCAAUAUUGUGCUGUUAUACUAAAUAUGGGUUUUUUUUUGUUUGUUUUUAAGACAGAGUCUAGCUCUGUUGCCCAGGUUGCAGUGAGCUGAGAUUGUGCCGUUGCGCUCCAGCCUGGGCAACAGAGUGAGACUUCAUCUCAAAAAAAAAAAAAAAAAAAAAGGUAAAAGGAUGACUUAAACCCAGGGUGUCGAGGUUGCAGGGAAAUUCAGAAAUGCCACUGAAGGGCCAGGCAUGGUGGCCAACACCUACAAUCCCAGCACUUUGGGAGGCAGAAGCAGGUGCAUCACCUGAGGUCGGGAGUUCGAGACCAGUGUGGCCAACAUGGUGGAAUGCUGUCUCUACUAAAAAUAAAUUAGCAGGAUGUGGUGGUGCGUGCCUGUAAUCCCAGCUACUUGGGAGGCUGAGACAGAAGAAUCAUUUGAACCCGGGAGGCGGAGGUUGCACUCCGCCUGGGUGAGCACCAUUGCACUCCAGCCUGGGUGACAAGAGUGAAACUCCAUCUCAA
rnacentral:sRNA from 1 species